CAUUGGCAAUGGUUUACUUAUAGAAAAGGACCAGCUCAUAGCCAUCACUCAGAUAAGCGAUGGGGCACGAGGCAAAUUCAAAAUUUGUUUGUUAUUGUUUCCGAUGCAUGAAGUGGUAGGGAAAUAAAAGUUAGGGAAGAAAAGCAAGGCACAUGUGGAACAUUGGUAGAGAAAGAGCGUUUGGAUCCCAUCUGAAUUACUGCCAUAACAGAUUUCCUGAGGCUUCAACUACUCUUUUGAGACAGUCUCUGCCAAACAGAA